UUCCCGACGCCCUGAGCGAGGUCCCUCCCGCUCAUCCGAGGCUUCCAGCGCCGGGUCUCCUUUUUACCCAUCGCCUCCCCACUUCCUUCAGUUUCCUGGAAGACACGUGGGAGGCUGGUGUUCCAAAAAAUCCGCCAAAGUAGCUCGCAAUUUUACUAGUCUGGAGUUUGCUCCUAAGCCCUGCCUUGCAACGUUUAAACUCGUUCUCUUUGGGAAAAAUAUCUCUCUUCAAUCAAUCAAGCAAUUCCAUCUUCUUCAUCUUAACAUUUGAAGAAACUGAGGCCCAGAAAAAGGUGGUGUUCCCAAAGGCAUCUGAAUAUCCAGGCAGCAGGCCUUGUUCUAUUCCUAGCAUCUUU